GAUGAACGCUGGCGGCGUGCCUAAUACAUGCAAGUCGAGCGAACAGACGAGGAGCUUGCUCCUCUGACGUUAGCGGCGGACGGGUGAGUAACACGUGGAUAACCUACCUAUAAGACUGGGAUAACUUCGGGAAACCGGAGCUAAUACCGGAUAAUAUAUUGAACCGCAUGGUUCAAUAGUGAAAGACGGUUUUGCUGUCACUUAUAGAUGGAUCCGCGCCGCAUUAGCUAGUUGGUAAGGUAACGGCUUACCAAGGCGACGAUGCUAAGCCGACCUGAGAGGGUGAUCGGCCACACUGGAACUGAGACACGGUCCAGACUCCUACGGGAGGCAGCAGUAGGGAAUCUUCCGCAAUGGGCGAAAGCCUGACGGAGCAACGCCGCGUGAGUGAUGAAGGUCUUCGGAUCGUAAAACUCUGUUAUUAGGGAAGAACAAAUGUGUAAGUAACUAUGCACGUCUUGACGGUACCUAAUCAGAAAGCCACGGCUAACUACGUG
rnacentral:rRNA from 1 species